rnacentral:rRNA from 1 species
GGCCUACGGGGGGCAGCAGUGGGGAAUAUUGCACAAUGGGGGGAACCCUGAUGCAGCAAUGCCGCGUGGGUGAAGAAGCACUCCGGUGCGUAAAGCCCUGUCAGCAGGGAAGAAAAUGACAGUACCUGACCAAGAAGCCCCGGCUAACUACGUGCCAGCAGCCGCGGUAAUACGUAGGGGGCGAGCGUUAUCCGGAUUUACUGGGUGUAAAGGGAGCGUAGACGGUUCUGCAAGUCUGAAGUGAAAGCCCGUGGCUUAACCGCGGAACGGCUUUGGAAACUGUGGAACUGGAGUGCUGGAGAGGG